GAUGAACGCUGGCGGCGUGCUUAACACAUGCGAGUCGAACGAACCUUCGGGUUAGUGGCGGACGGGUGAGUAACGCGUGGGAAUCUGCCCUCAGGAGGGGGAUAACGGUUGGAAACGGCCGCUAAUACCCCAUAUGCCGAGAGGUGAAAUGAAUUUCGCCUGAGGAUGAGCCCGCGUCUGAUUAGCUAGUUGGUGAGGUAAGAGCUCACCAAGGCAUCGAUCAGUAGCUGGUCUGAGAGGAUGAUCAGCCACACUGGGACUGAGACACGGCCCAGACUCCUACGGGAGGCAGCAGUGGGGAAUUUUCCGCAAUGGGCGAAAGCCUGACGGAGCAACGCCGCGUGAGGGAUGAAGGCCUCUGGGCUGUAAACCUCUUUUAUCAAGGAAGAAGAUCUGACGGUACUUGAUGAAUAAGCCACGGCUAAUUCCGUGCCAGCAGCCGCGGUAAUACGGGAGUGGCAAGCGUUAUCCGGAAUUAUUGGGCGUAAAGCGUCCGCAGGCGGCCCUACAAGUCUGCUGUUAAAAAGUGGAGCUUAACUCCAUCAUGGCAGUGGAAACUGUUGGGCUUGAGUGUGGUAGGGGCAGAGGGAAUUCCCGGUGUAGCGGUGAAAUGCGUAGAUAUCGGGAAGAACACCAGUGGCGAAGGCGCUCUGCUGGGCCAUCACUGACGCUCAUGGACGAAAGCCAGGGGAGCGAAAGGGAUUAGAUACCCCUGUAGUCCUGGCCGUAAACGAUGAACACUAGGUGUCGGGGGAAUCGACCCCUCCGGUGUCGUAGCCAACGCGUUAAGUGUUCCGCCUGGGGAGUACGCACGCAAGUGUGAAACUCAAAGGAAUUGACGGGGGCCCGCACAAGCGGUGGAGUAUGUGGUUUAAUUCGAUGCAACGCGAAGAACCUUACCAGGGUUUGACAUCCUGCGAAUCUCUUGGAAACUUGAGAGUGCCUUCGGGAGCGCAGUGACAGGUGGUGCAUGGCUGUCGUCAGCUCGUGUCGUGAGAUGUUGGGUUAAGUCCCGCAACGAGCGCAACCCACGUCUUUAGUUGCCAGCAUUUAGUUGGGCACUCUAGAGAGACCGCCGGUGAUAAACCGGAGGAAGGUGUGGAUGACGUCAAGUCAUCAUGCCCCUUACAUCCUGGGCUACACACGUACUACAAUGCUACGGACAAAGGGCAGCAAGUUCGCGAGGACAAGCAAAUCCCAUAAACCGUGGCUCAGUUCAGAUCGUAGGCUGCAACUCGCCUACGUGAAGGAGGAAUCGCUAGUAAUCGCAGGUCAGCAUACUGCGGUGAAUACGUUCCCGGGCCUUGUACACACCGCCCGUCACACCAUGGAAGUUGGCCACGCCCGAAGCCGUUACUCCAACCCUUGUGGAGGAGGACGUCGAAGGUGGGGCUGAUGACUGGGGUGAAGUCGUAACAAGGUAGCCGUACCGGAAGGUGCGGCUGGAUCACCUCCU
rnacentral:rRNA from 1 species